rnacentral:rRNA from 1 species
GAUGAACGCUAGCGGCAGGCCUAACACAUGCAAGUCGAGGGGUAGAGGAAGCUUGCUUCCUUGAGACCGGCGCACGGGUGCGUAACGCGUAUGCAAUCUACCUUUUACAGAGGGAUAGCCCAGAGAAAUUUGGAUUAAUACCUCAUAGUAUCUUUGCCUGGCAUCGGGUGAUUAUUAAAGUUCCAACGGUAAAAGAUGAGCAUGCGUCCUAUUAGCUAGAUGGUAAGGUAACGGCUUACCAUGGCAACGAUAGGUAGGGGUCCUGAGAGGGAGAUCCCCCACACUGGUACUGAGACACGGACCGGACUCCCACGGGCGGCAGCAGUGAGGAAUAUUGGACAAUGGUCGCAAGCCUGAUCUAGCCAUGCCGCGUGCAGGAAGACGGUCCUAUGGAUUGUAAACUGCUUUUGUACGGGAAGAAACACUCCUACGUGUAGGAGCUUGACGGUACCGUAAGAAUAAGGAUCGGCUAACUCCGUGCCAGCCGCCGCAGUAAGAC